UUCGCAAUGCCCGAAAGGGUGACGAAGCGACGCCGCGUGGGUGAGGAAGGCCUUCGGGUUGUAAACCGCUGUCGGGAGUUAGGAAAUGCAAGGAUGUUAAUAGCGUCUUUGCUUGACUAAGGCUCCGGAGGAAGCCACGGCUAACUCUGUGCCAGCAGCCGCGGUAAUACAGAGGCGGCAAGCGUUGUUCGGAAUUAUUGGGCGUAAAGAGCACGUAGGCGGCUGUGUAAGUCGGUUGUGAAAGCCUUCCGCUCAACGGGAGAACGGCAUCCGAUACUGCAUGGCUCGAGUGCGGGAGGGGAGAGUGGAACUUCUGGUGGAGCGGUGAAAUGCGUAGAUAUCAGAAGGAACACCGGCGGCGAAGGCGACUCUCUGGCCCGUAACUGACGCUGAGUGUGCGAAAGCUAGGGGAGCAAACGGGAUUAGAUACCCCGGUAGUCCUAGCCGUAAACGAUGGGCACUAAGUAGAGGGGUUUU
rnacentral:rRNA from 1 species